rnacentral:tRNA from 2 species
GGGCGGUUAUUGUUAUUGUCUAGUAAUGAAUGUUACCCCAAAAUAUUACCUUGACAUGGUAGAGGUCGUUGGUUCGACUCCAAUCGCGCCUACCA